ensembl:lncRNA
GUGAGGUUGGGCUUAUCUCUCUCAUUCGGGACAAAUCCAAACAUGUUGCCCAUUUGAAGCUAAACUCUUAUUCAUUAGGUAAAAUAGGCUUUGGAUUUCACACGUGUUUCAGUAUCUAUGCAAAAAAAAAAAUCAUCAUGAGCAAAAAUAUGCCAAAGUGGACCGCUGUUCGCGCCGCAUGGCGUGUGAACGACUGCUGUUUCCAAUGAAUAUGUGCGCGUGAGGCACCAGCGCGAUCAAAGUCACAGUUCACAGUCUGAGGCAGAGCAGGAGGGUAAGCUGCCAGAGAAAAGAUUCAGGAAGCCAGUGUAAGUGUGUUCUGUCUUGUUUUUGUUAUGUUUCUACAGUAAUAAGAAGGUUAUUCACCGUAGCAUUCAAAAAUAAACAAGAGAUGCUUGUACUAUGUAUAUUUUGCAAUUUUGGGAUUGCAAUAACCAUAAUGGUUACUUAACAGCCAUCGUUUUGGGGACUCUGAUGAGAGUGAAGAAGAGCCAGAUGCCACGACCUUCCAACUUGCCUGGUGUGUCAGUUGAAGCCUCAUGCCCAAGCCAUUUGCACUGGAAGACUCCAUCAUCUUGCCGAGUGCCAGGCAACAGAGUAACUACUCCUCAAAACUGUCUAGGUAAACACUGUUCUCCUAAAUAAUAUUGAAUACAGUGGCCCCAUUUAUAUUAACACAGCAAUGGUCACUCUGUUUCAAAUCAAUGGACUGCAUCUGCAUUACCAUCUCAGAUUUUCAAUGUCAAUCCAUUCAUGGGGUUGAAGUAGGUAGUUUAUACCAAAUUAAUGUUCAGCAUGACAAGAGAUUUUUUUGUUUGCCAUUGUUUGGCCCUGUAGCUUGCAUGCCUCACAGCCUACCAUGGUUAACAGAUCACAACCAUUUAAUACCAAUUUCUCUCCAUUAGCACCAGACUAUGGGGCAGGACAGCAACUCCCAACACCCGCAUUUAACAUGCAGAGAGUUACUCAAGGAAUGGCAGUCCCUCCACAACUCCCUCCACCCCCCGCACCAGCCCUCAACAUGCGGCCAACAGAGGAAGCCUGUUCAAGCCUGACCUACAGACCAACAUGGCGAGGGGGAAGAAUGGCCGAUACCAUUCCCUGCUCUGCGGCUGAGGUCCACAUACUUAGCCUGCUGGAAACCAUUAAACAGCAACAAGACCAGCUUGUGGCAAAGGUGAACUACCUCAGCAGCAGGCUGAACAGCACCCCGGGGCCAGAUGUUGAGAUGCCUGAAAAUAUCCAGUUUCCCCUGGAACAAUUGGAGGCCGUGGAGGCAUUUGAAAUGUUUCUAAAGGAACCGUCAAAUGGCCCAGCUCGACAGAGAGUGAUUUCUUCUUUGGCCACCAUUGGAGGUGGUGGAGGACCUUACUUUUCAGUAAGUACAUAAUUCAAAGUAAUAUUAAAUACGUUCAAAGUCAAUAGUUUGUGAAUGUUAGGGCAGCCUUAAAAAUCGCUGCAACCAUCUUACCAAUAUGACCGUGUAGCCUUUUUUUUUUUAGACAAUUGAUUAACUAAUCCUUUACUAAACAUGACUUUGCGUUUCAUAAAUGAUGUAAAAAAAAAAAUUGUAUGUCAUAGAUGAUGUGUAAAUGCAUGAGUAAAUAAUUUACAACACUUUCUGCAUCCCCUAAUUUAAAGUGUAAACUAUUCAUCACUUGUAAAUGUGUUAGUGUUAGGGGUUUUACAUAAUUUAAAAUUAUGUAAAAUCGCUGGUCUUGGUGAGUAUCCUAAGUCGGUUAGCCCUAUAUCUCAAGUGAACGUAGCCAUGUUCAUAUUGGGUCGUUCGGUCUUUAAGGGGCAGCAAUUUAAUAAACCUGCUGCUGUGUUUUAAACA